CGGCACUGCAUUUCCAUCAAGGACUGCCUACUGGGGUGAAAAGCAAGACCACCAGUGAUGUUCUAUAGCCCUGCAACACGACACCACAAAAUGGCGAGCUGCAAGGCCAGCUGCUCCUUUUCCUCAUGGAUCUUCUCCCUUGCUGCCCUCUCAGCAUGGAAAUCUGAACAGUACACCUCCAUCUGUUAGAGGAAAGUUGAGUUACCAUGGAGAUGAGCGUGGUCUCCACGGUGACCUGACCUGACCUGAUGUCUGGCCCGUGCUGUACCUGUAGAUGGGCUUCGGGAAGACAGAUCUCUGUUGUCAACAGGUAUGAUAAGUUAUGGCUUCCCAAUGCCGUUAAACAGAUACAAGUCAUGUGCAUGUGGGUGCUUUAAACUGAACUGAUAUAAACGGAUUAAGGAAUGCACGAAUCAUUCAUUAAAUAAAAUAUUUCUU
rnacentral:lncRNA from 1 species